GACAGAGUGCAGCAGUCCUGCCCUGCCCCGGCCAGAACAGUAGUCUGGAAUACUGAGAGCUUUCUUUUUUUUUUUUUUUUCCAGCAACCUCAAAAAGCAGCCAAUCACAGCGCUCUAGCCCCAGGGCUGGCCUCAACCAGCCAAUCAGAGCAGAGUCAGCGUGUCACCUGACAGAAAGUGCCCCUGUCUAUCACGCCAGUCAUAUAUAGCUCAUUCCAGCAGCCUGAGACGAGGCUGUGAGUGCGUGUGUGUGUGUGUGUGGGACCGGCUGAGGACUCAGUGUACCCACAGUUUUGCUUUGAGACCGACUGCAUGUGUGCACUUCACAAGUGUGUGAAAAGAAUUGUAUGGAGAGAACAAAUAUAUAUAUAUGUAUAUAUAUAAAAGACUGGAAGUUAACUCAUUUUGGCGUUCAAGAAUGACUGGAGGCUACUUUUUUGUUGUUGUUGUUGUAAUUCUGAAAGCUCAGCGUGACGUCCGGUGUGCGUACAGCACAGAAGAGUGAAGUGAUGAAGAGGACUGGAAGUCGCUCGUCUCUGACCCCGCACAAUGAGCUGUAACGUGACGGCAGCCGACAGACGCCAUCAUGGAAAUGUCACGGCCAACAUCAGAGAGCUCGCCAGCCUCCUCUUUCAUUCCCUUAAUCCACAAUCCCUCCUCUCCUCAUCUCUCCAUACAUAUUCAGCAGCUCAAGUCUUCACCAUUCUAAUGAGGGCUCGACCGGCGUGCUAUGAAAGAGAGCGCAGAGAGAGAGGGAUAUAUAUAUAAAUAUAUACGGGGAGGUGGGCGGACGGAUGGAUGGGGCUUUAGACCAGAGCAGAGAACGACUGUCUUUGAACUCCGAAAGAGAAAGACGGAUGACAGAUGAGGAUGAAUAGAAGGAUGCUGAUGAGAGAAGGAGCGAGAGAUCAAUGCUGAACAAUCUGUACAGCGGGGUUAGUCGUGUUGCGUUUAAAUGCUGCUUUAAAGUCGACGUGCAAUCAAAAAUUACAAUGUGUAUUUGGCUAGCGCAAAUUGUUAUUGUUUAGGUCAACUAUUAAUCUGCGCGAAAAGGUUGUUUAGGUAAUUAAAGAACUGAGACUCCAAUCAAAUUCUGUUGGCGUGAACUUAAGGGCUUCCAUUGCAACUGGUAAUUCAUAUUUAUAGCCACGCCCCUCUUAUUAGCAACUGUGCGUUAAUAUUCGUAGCCACACCCUUCUUAUUUGUUACCUGAAAAAAAUGAUGCACAAAAAGAAAGCUCCGCCCUCUACUGAAUAUUCAAUUUCAGUUGGAAGCACAUCAACAUACUGAAAUAAAAGUCUAAGCAACUUCCCAUUCACACUUUAAAGUGCGCGUGAAAUGAAAAAUUUGAAUAUUUAAUUGGCUAGCGCACAUUGUUAUUUUUUAGGUGAACUAUUAAUCUGUGCUAAAAAGUCGUUAUGGUAAUAAAGGAUUUGAUUUGAGUCGCAGUUCUUAUGUUGACGUCAAUUUAAGGGCUUCCAUUGGAACUGGUGAAUCAUAUUUAUAGCCACGCCUUUCUUAUUAGCAGUUGUGCAUUAAUAUUUGUAGCCACACCCCUCUUAUUAGUUACCUAUAAUGGAAUGAUGCACAAAAAGAAAGCUCCGCCUCCUACUUAAUAUUCAGUUUCAGUUGGAAGCACAUCAACAUACUGAUAAAAAAAAAAGUCUCAGCAAAUUCUGGUUCACGCCGACUUUAAAGUUCACGUGAAAUCAAAAAUGUAACUAUUUAUUUGCUAGCGCACAUUGUUAUUGUGUAGGUGAACUUUUAAUCUGUGCAAAAAAGUCAUUUUGGUGAUUAAGGCUUU